AGUGAACGCUGGCGGUAGGCCUAACACAUGCAAGUCGAACGGCAGCACAGUAAGAGCUUGCUCUUACGGGUGGCGAGUGGCGGACGGGUGAGGAAUACAUCGGAAUCUACUUUUUCGUGGGGGAUAACGUAGGGAAACUUACGCUAAUACCGCAUACGACCUACGGGUGAAAGCAGGGGAUCUUCGGACCUUGCGCGAUUGAAUGAGCCGAUGUCGGAUUAGCUAGUUGGCGGGGUAAAGGCCCACCAAGGCGACGAUCCGUAGCUGGUCUGAGAGGAUGAUCAGCCACACUGGAACUGAGACACGGUCCAGACUCCUACGGGAGGCAGCAGUGGGGAAUAUUGGACAAUGGGCGCAAGCCUGAUCCAGCCAUACCGCGUGGGUGAAGAAGACCUUCGGGUUGUAAAGCCCUUUUGUUGGGUAAGAAAAGCAGCAGGUUAAUACCCCGCUGUUCUGACGGUACCCAAAGAAUAAGCACCGGCUAACUUCGUG
rnacentral:rRNA from 1 species